rnacentral:rRNA from 1 species
UACAGGGGGUGCAAACGUUGCUCGGAAUUAUUGGGCGUAAAGCGCGCGUAGGCGGCUACUUAAGUCGGAUGUGAAAGCCCCUGGCUCAACUGGGGAAGUGCACCCGAAACUGAGUGGCUUGAGUACUAAAGAGGGUCGCGGAAUUCCCGGUGUAGAGGUGAAAUUCGUAGAUAUCGGGAGGAACACCGGUGGCGAAGGCGGCGACCUGGGUAGAUACUGACGCUGAGGCGCGAAAGCUAGGGGAGCAAACAGG